GAAGGCUCUGACCCUGGAUAAGGCAGCUUCCUUGGUCCCUGAAGUUUCUCAGGUGACAAUGCCAGUCUCUUUUCCUCCCUCCCUCCCUCCUCUCAUU
rnacentral:lncRNA from 1 species